AGAGUUUGAUCCUGGCUCAGGACGAACGCUGGCGGCGUGCUUAACACAUGCAAGUCGAACGGUAAGGCCCUUCGGGGUACACGAGUGGCGAACGGGUGAGUAACACGUGGGUAAUCUGCCCUGCACAUCGGGAUAAGCCUGGGAAACUGGGUCUAAUACCGAAUAGGACCACAGGACACAUGUCCUGUGGUGGAAAGCUUUUGCGGUGUGGGAUGGGCCCGCGGCCUAUCAGCUUGUUGGUGGGGUGAUGGCCUACCAAGGCGACGACGGGUAGCCGGCCUGAGAGGGUGUCCGGCCACACUGGGACUGAGAUACGGCCCAGACUCCUACGGGAGGCAGCAGUGGGGAAUAUUGCACAAUGGGCGAAAGCCUGAUGCAGCGACGCCGCGUGGGGGAUGACGGCCUUCGGGUUGUAAACCUCUUUCACCAUCGACGAAGGUCCGGGUUUUCUCGGGCUGACGGUAGGUGGAGAAGAAGCAUCGGCCAACUACGUGCCAGCAGCCGCGGUAAUACGUAGGGUGCGAGCGUUGUCCGGAAUUACUGGGCGUAAAGAGCUCGUAGGUGGUUUGUCGCGUUGUUCGUGAAAUCUCACGGCUUAACUGUGAGCGUGCGGGCGAUACGGGCAGACUUGAGUACUGCAGGGGAGACUGGAAUUCCUGGUGUAGCGGUGGAAUGCGCAGAUAUCAGGAGGAACACCGGUGGCGAAGGCGGGUCUCUGGGCAGUAACUGACGCUGAGGAGCGAAAGCGUGGGGAGCGAACAGGAUUAGAUACCCUGGUAGUCC
rnacentral:rRNA from 1 species